CCCACGAUGACGGGAGAGACUGGCCUUCGAGGCUGGCGCCGAAGGAGCAACCGCCCCUGGAAUCUCUCAGGCCAAAGGACCGACAUCGGCUG
rnacentral:ncRNA from 2 species